rnacentral:rRNA from 1 species
AUUGAACGCUGGCGGCAGGCCUAACACAUGCAAGUCGAGCGACCGGCGGACGGGUGAGUAAUGUCUGGGAAACUGCCUGAUGGAGAGGGAGAACUACUAGAAACGGUAGUUAAUACCGCAUACCAUCCGAUGUGACCAGGUGGGAUUAGUUAGUAGGUGGGGUAACGGCUCACCUAGGAGACGAUCCCUAGCUGGUCUGAUAGGAUGCACAGCCACACUGGAACUGAAACACGGUCCAGAGUCCGACGGUAGGCAGCAUUGGGGAAUAUUGGACAAUUGGCGCAAGCCUGAUGCAGCCAUGCCGCGUGUGUGAAGAAGGCCUUCGGAUUGUAAAGCACGUUCAGCGGGGAGGCGUUACCCGCAGAAUAAGCACCGGCUAACUCCGUGCCAGCAGCCGCGGUAAUAC